CCUAAUCCCUAGCCAGCCAUGUGGGAACAACAUUCUCCUAAUCCCUAGCCAGCCAUGUGGGAACAACAUUCUCCUAAUCCCUAGCCAGGCCAGCCGUGUGGGAACAACAUUCUCCUAAUCCCUAGCCAGGCCAGCCAUGUGGGAACAACAUUCUCCUAAUCCCUAGCCAGCCAUGUGGGAACAACAUUCUCCUAAUCCCUAGCCAGGCCAGCCAUGUGGGAACAACAUUCUCCUAAUCCCUAGCCAGCCAG
ensembl:lncRNA